UAAGGAUGCUUCCUUAUGAUAAUCGAAAUUUCGGAAGAUGGAAACUCGAAAAAGUAACACGACCAAUCAGCAUCAUUUAUGUUUAGCACGUUCAUGUAACGUAUAAUAUGAUUGGUCGCAUUACUUAUCGACUAUCAUAGGAUAACAGCAUUUUCUAAACAUUUGUUACAUAUCGAAGCGCAGCGAUAUAUCGAAGCACAAGAAAGAGUUACACUAUCGAGAUGAGGUAAUAAUUUUUAAUUGGUUGCUUAAUAUCUGCUAGGAACGCUAAUGAAUUUGUCCUUUGGGUUCGGUAUUCUCUACGCCACAUAGAAGCUAUCAGCUGUUCGGUGACAGGACAGAAGUUUUUUAAUACAAAGAGCAUUUGCUGAAAGAAAAGAAUGAUAGAGGAAAUAAUUGAACAAUAAUGCCCAAUUUUCUGUAAAGCUAAUAAUGAAUACAACAUUUUUUCUGAGAGCUUUAUUGUCACAUGAAUAACAAUAAAACGACUGACAUGUCUGGCAGCCGUUAAAGAGCUGCCUAUUAUAAACGUUUAUACAAAUUGAAUUUCUAUUCGAUACUAUUUGAUCACCAUCGUGACGCAAGAUAUAUAAGAAAAAUGUUAGAAAU